UACGGAGGGUGCAAGCGUUAUCCGGAUUCACUGGGUUUAAAGGGUGCGUAGGUGGGUUGGUAAGUCAGUGGUGAAAUCUCCGUGCUUAACAUGGAAACUGCCAUUGAUACUACUGAUCUUGAAUUUUCAGGAGGUAAGCGGAAUAUGUCAUGUAGCGGUGAAAUGCUUAGAUAUGACAUAGAACACCAAUUGCGAAGGCAGCUGGCUACACGAAUAUUGACACUGAUGCACGAAAGCGUGGGGAUCAAACAGG
rnacentral:rRNA from 1 species